rnacentral:rRNA from 1 species
CCCUUAGAUGUUCUGGGCGGCCCGCGCACUACAUUGGCACUCUCAAUAAGUUCCUAGAUCUAACACUUUGGGGUAUUCUAUUAAGUGGUGUCGUGACUGGGAUUAACCCUUGCAAUUAUUGGUUACGAACGAGGAAUUCCUUGUAAUCGCGGUUUAUCAGCCCGCGUUGAAUGCGUCCCUGCCCUUUGUACACACCGCCCGUCGCUCCUACCGAUGAAUCGUCCGGUGAAGUUCAUGGAGUGGUGGUUGUUCCAGCUGCUGUCGAAGUGAAAUGGACCUCACGAUUUAGAGGAAGGAGAAGUCGUAACA